rnacentral:rRNA from 1 species
GGCGGACGGGUGAGUAACACGUGGGUAACCUGCCUAAAAGAAGGGGAUAACACUUGGAAACAGGUGCUAAUACCGUAUAUCUCUAAGGAUCGCAUGAUCCUUAGAUGAAAGAUGGUUCUGCUAUCGCUUUUAGAUGGACCCGCGGCGUAUUAACUAGUUGGUGGGGUAACGGCCUACCAAGGUGAUGAUACGUAGCCGAACUGAGAGGUUGAUCGGCCACAUUGGGACUGAGACACGGCCCAAACUCCUACGGGAGGCAGCAGUAGGGAAUCUUCCACAAUGGACGCAAGUCUGAUGGAGCAA